GAUGAACGCUAGCUACAGGCUUAACACAUGCAAGUCGAGGGGAAACGGCAUUUAGUGCUUGCACCGAAUGGACGUCGACCGGCGCACGGGUGAGUAACGCGUAUCCAACCUACCCAUUACUGUGGGAUAACCUGCCGAAAGGCAGACUAAUACCGCAUAGUCUUCGAUGACGGCAUCAGAUUUGAAGUAAAGAUUUAUCGGUAAUGGAUGGGGAUGCGUCUGAUUAGCUUGUUGGCGGGGUAACGGCCCACCAAGGCAACGAUCAGUAGGGGUUCUGAGAGGAAGGUCCCCCACAUUGGAACUGAGACACGGUCCAAACUCCUACGGGAGGCAGCAGUGAGGAAUAUUGGUCAAUGGACGAGAGUCUGAACCAGCCAAGUAGCGUGCAGGAUGACGGCCCUAUGGGUUGUAAACUGCUUUUGUAUGGGGAUAAAGUCAAUCACGUGUGAUUGUUUGCAGGUACCAUACGAAUAAGGACCGGCUAAUUCCGUGCCAGCAGCCGCGGUAAUACGGAAGGUCCGGGCGUUAUCCGGAUUUAUUGGGUUUAAAGGGAGCGUAGGCCGGAGAUUAAGUGUGUUGUGAAAUGUAGACGCUCAACGUCUGACUUGCAGCGCAUACUGGUUUCCUUGAGUACGCACAACGUUGGCGGAAUUCGUCGUGUAGCGGUGAAAUGCUUAGAUAUGACGAAGAACUCCGAUUGCGAAGGCAGCUGACGGGAGCGCAACUGACGCUUAAGCUCGAAGGUGCGGGUAUCGAACAGG
rnacentral:rRNA from 1 species